UUUUUUUUCCUUUUCAAUUUAACUGACCCAUAGGUGUUCCCAAAGGACUGAAACAGAAUAAGUUACCAUGACAAAGAUGCAACAAAAUCUUUACCACCGCCAGCACCACCAGUGGACGGUACAUCACCCGCCCGCCCAGAGCUGGAAUUCCACCUUUCUCUGCCUGCCUGCCUCAUCCAUUCAACUCCAGGACGUCAGGUAAAUUUAUAUUCCGUGACAGCUUUGCAGGACACGUUCUCACCAAGGCUGCCACGAUAUUCUAACAGCUAAAAAGAUCACACCUUCCGUUUCAAAAAUAAAAAAUAAAAAAAUAAAAUAAAAGAUCCUACUACCUCCGUCCUAGUUUAUAGGUCCCCUUUGUACUUUGUGUCAAAUUUUGACUAAAAAUUUAAACUAACAAAAUGGUAAUGCAUGUCAAGAAAAAUUAUCUCAUUGGAUUCAUAUUUGAACAUAGUUUUUAAAAAUAUAAUGUUUGGUGACAUGCAUGAACAUUUUGUUAAUUUAAUCUAUAGUUAAAACUUGGCACGAAAUAUAAUGGGGACCAAUAAACCCGGACGGAGGGUAGUACCUCACAUACAUACAUACAUCGUGCGAAGAUGAGCGCCAGCUCGAGACGAGAGGGAAUCCACUUUCACAAGGUCGACCAGCUGCUAGUGCCAAUCGGCUACUUGUCUCUUCUCCUCGCUUGCCGAUCCAGCAAAGAAUCUUGAUCCGGGAGCAUAUAUUCCUCGACACCACUUGACCAAGUCUUUUGGUACGCAAAACAACAACAAAAGGAUGAACCUAAUGCCGGCCCGCUUUAACUCCUAUGUGAGUGUCGACUCAGCCAAUUUAGGCUGCGGUCAGAUCGCGGCAACGGUGAAAGCCAUGUCCGGAAACUUUAUAUGCUGUACAGUGAAACCGGACGAACUUUUAUUCGCCUCACGGCCCAUUUUGAUGCUUGGGCACUUUGCAUAUUUGUAAAGUGAUGAAAAGAGUGCCCGAGUUGCUUCAUUCAGAAUGAUCCCCGAUAGCUAAGUCAUUGUAGAUGACAGCAAAAGUUGUAAAAUCCACCGUGGUUUAUGGGCAAAAGUUGCUAGAUCAAACGAGUCACCUAGUACUCCCUCCGUCCCAAAAAACAUGUCGCGAGUGGAUAUUUGCAAUUUAGCCCUCCACAUUUUCCCGACCGAACCCGAGGUCCCUCUUCUUCCUCGCUCUCGCUCUCACUCUCUCCCGGCCGAACCCGACGACGGGCGCCGCCUUGCCGCCCCCGCCGCCCCUCUCCGCCACCGCUCCUCCCGCCCCACGCCGCCCCCGCCGCCCCUCUCCGCCACCGCCCCCGCUGCCACCACCCCUCCCGCCUCACGCCCCACGCCGCAUCGUUCCCCGCCUCGUUCCCCAACGUGAAGCACGCGCUUUUUUUGUCGAUCCUCCUGUCGUUCCUGUCCGACGACCAUGUGUUUACCUCACCGGGGCACGGCAGUGGGGCGCCCUCCUUUCUCGCAUUCCUGGCGCGGCGGCUGCUCGGCGGAUUGCAAAGAGGCAGGUGGAGGAGCUCACCAAGUAGCCCGCCGGAGUCAAAGGUCUCCUUUUUCCCCUUCUCCUCCCUUUGAUCUACUGCGCCCAUACAAUUUCUUCUUUUAUCUUCUUGGAUUGUUCGGGCCAUGUCCACCCAAUUUCUUCUUCAUCAUCCUAGAUUUCUACAGGCAUUCGAGGAUAGGGACAAGCCGGUGGCGCAGCCAAUGACUGGAGCGGCGGCGCGAGCUCUGUCUCCGGGGAGAAGCCGAUGGGCGACGUCAGCGAGCUCGUCUCCGUGCGUUAACCCCUCUGUGUGUUGCGGGGUGGGGAGGCAACUCCGUGAGCUCGUCUUCGUGCGGCUACCGGGGGUUUGCCCCUCAGCUCGCCGCAAACUCUAUUUCCGGGGAGAAGCGGCGUCGGCGACUCCGUGAGGGCGGCCGCCGGCGCAAGCCCAGGUUCGCUCCUCACCCCAUCCAUCCCAACUCCAAACUCUGAAACUUCGUUUUUUCUUUUCUGAAAUGAACUCUGAAACUUCGUUUUUUCUUUUCUGAAAUGAACUAUGAAACUUAGCAAUGGUUAAUGGUGACUGAGUAGGUCGAUUUUCGGCGGCUUCGCUCAAGGCCGACGAUUGGGCGCGUGUGGUGGCAGUUCGAGGAGUGGCGACAUCUUCUGGUGGAUUGCUGUGUGUGCUUUGGUCUGAAAGUUUGUGAUUGGAAGGAGCGGCAACAUCUUCAGGUGGAAGGAGUGGCAGUUCAAGGACAUCUUCAGCAGUGGUCUGAAUUGAUUCAGGUGAUUCCUCAAUUGCUGCAUUUUCAACUGCACUAAACAACUGCAUUCUCAACUGCUGAAUUAGACUGAAUAUUCUUCCUGUAUAAUGUCACAACUAAACAUCUGCACUUCUGGAAUUAGUGUGCACUUAUAGAACUAGUCUGCACUUAUAAAAUGGCAGAAUAGUGUACAGGAGUAAUCUGUCAUGUGACAGUAGUCAUGAUUAAUCAUCUUGAGCUUUUUCCAUUUAAUUUUUGAAUCACAGCAUCAUUUAAAUUUGUUUUUAAACUUGUUUCAUGCAUCCAUGGCCGCACCAUAGCAGCGAGUACUGCUUGUUGAGAUACUACUACUCCUGUCAAUAGCAUACUGAAUACUCCUGUCAAUAAACUGAAUGGCACAGUACUGUACAGGAGUAUUUAGACAGUUUAAUGCUGACGUAUAAACUGAAUGUUUAGACAGAGUUCUUAUUCAUGUGCUCCUGUCAAUAGAAUCAAAACUGAUUUAUUACCUUUGCAUAUAAACUACUCCUAGUGAAACUACAACACAUUCCAAUCAAUUUAUGUUUGCUUAUUUUUGUUUUUUCUCUCUACAGGAAAUACUUUGGCAUGGUACAGUUUGACCAGCCACAUGACCAAAUCAGUUAACCUACUCCCUUUAGUCUGCAUCAAGGUACAGAUAUUUAAGUGUUUCCUUGCAUGUUCAACUGAAUUAUGGCCGAGUUUAGAUAUUUAACAGAAUUAUGACAUCUUGUGAGGUGGUGCCUUAUUCACCCUGUGCAAGCUUGUGAUUUCCUGUGCUGUAUGUAAACUGUAAUCAUCUUCAGCGUACUCCUUCAGUACAAACACCUGACUGACUCUUCAGAUUGUGAUUCGGUUUUCGCAAUUGAUAAUCACCGUAGUCAGCAAGCGAUUCAGCAUCAUUUGGGUUCCUGUAUGUAAACCUAACAAUGGAGUUUGUGACCUGCAUUAGAUUAUUAGACAUCUUUCAUGUGUCAUGUUUUGGACAGUUCUAUUAGAGUUUUGCUUUGGUUCAUGCUAUUCAACUUACAUUCCUUUUUUUUAAAGAAAAGCUUGCAUUCCUUGAUAUAGCUUGAUAAGCCAGCUUCGUAAAAUAGAUCUGUCAUUCAGACAUGUCGGGGAAAAUUCUACUAGCACUUGAUGAAAUGGCAUAGUAAAUGGCAGCUAAGCAUGUACUCCAAAUAUUCAGGACAGAUCAUUCAUUCAGAUUUAACAAGAAGCUAGUAAGAGUCCUCCAAAAUGUAUGUGAAAUGUAGCCAGUCUGCACUUGCACAAGUAGCCAGUCUGCACUUGCAAAUAAUAGGCUUACUCUGCUCUAACAAGUAAGCAAAUAACUCCAUGGAGAAGUCAGCAAGAAGAUUUCAGGUUCUGAAACUGAAACAGAGCACUGCACAAGUAGCCAGUCUGCACUUGCAAAUUCACAAUUUCAUUUGGAUCGAGCGGCCGAUCCCCACAUAGUGAACCAGUCGAUGUAGCACUUGCAAACCCACAAUAAAAAUGAUGUCUAGCGGCUGAUCCACACAAGCAUAAUUCAGUAGCGCCCACAAUGACUUGUAACACUGAAAUCUUCAAGCUACUUUCAUUUUGUUCUUUGUUCUUCAGUUAACAUUGGAGAGUACAGUAUUCAGUUAACAUUGUUCUUCCUGACGGAACACAAGGAGCAGAGGAGCAACUCCUUACAGUACCUUCUUCUUCCUGAUGAACAGGAGCUGUGGCGGCAGCUGGGCAGACGAGCAGCAGCAGUAUGGGCAGAGGAGCUCCACCGGCGGGGGAGAAGCAGCAGCAGUAUGGGCAGAGGAGCUCCACCGGCGGGCGCGCGGGCAAGGAAGAAGGAGCAGCACGGGCUCGCGCGGGAGAUUGAGGAGGACAAGCUGGAGAUCGAGGAGGAAGCGCGCGAACUCCUAGUCCACCGGAUCGUGGAGGCAGUUUCCGGCGAAGCCCGUAGGGGAUCGCGACCAGGAGGGAUUGCGGCAGCGCACGCGCGGAGGAUCGCGGCCAGGAGGAAUUGCGGCGGCGCACGCGCGGAGCUCAAGGAGGAUGCGCGUGAGCUCGAGGAGGACGCGCGCGAGCUCGAGAAGGACGUGUCGGGAGGUUCCGGCGACGCCCGUUGGUAAUUGCGGCGGCGCAGGUCUGGGCGACGGCGGCGGAGCAAUACCUGGCGACGAAGGCGGCGGAGCAGGUACUUCGCGAUGGUGGCGGAGCACUUCCUGGUGGGCGGCGAAUCGCGCAGCUGGGCGACGCCGGCUGCUGGCGACGGCGGAGGAGGAAGACUAGGGCGGGGACUUGUUUGAUACGGUUUUGAAACCAUGAGGGUGUUUCUGUAAAAUUGCGAAUGAACUGUGCUCACGACAUGUUUUUCGGGACGGAGGGAGUACUAGUUUUGUCAUUGAAUGGUCAAAGAUUCUAACUAAAAUAGGUAAUUGCUUAUUUGCCUACCAAUGGUUCGUACUAGUAGAUUCACUAUUCAUAUCAACAACGCAGGUCGUAAUCAUCGCUAUUCAGAGAAUAUGACAGCCAUUCAGGAAAACUCACGUCCCAACAAUCAGAUGUGCACUGUCAAUUCAUCCCAGAGGAAAAACUGUUGACAAGCCAGGAAAUGAUUAAACAUCUAAUCUGAACUUAUACACCGGAAGAGUCGCUUUGGAUUGGACCACUUACUGUUAGAAAUGCACUUUUCUCUUUUGAUAUUGCUUCAUUCUGAUACAACCAAUGAGCACAUGGUACAGCAGAACUAGUGAAACAUCCAGGAAGCAACGGAAACAAGUACAAAUUUGGCACACUUUCAAAAUAAAAUAAAAUUGGAAACCUUACAUCUAUCAAGAUUCACAGAUGGGAUCGAGAUUAGCACGCUACACCCCCUAUGUAGUAGUUAAAAAAAAACCAUUCAAAAAAUAGCCCCCUACACCACUACCCCUAUGUAAACUUUGAUACUUGUGCCCAGUGGCGGAGCUUGAAAGAAAAUGCUGGGUGGGCCAGACUAAACAAGAGCACAAUUUUUUUUGAAAUUCUGAAUCAUAAGCAUCAGUAUGAUUACCGGAUGGAGCAAGCAGUAUGUAUAUAUACAACAAAAUACAUUUUAACCCUGAACCACUAUUAAGUUAGCUAAUACAAAAGCUUUGAGACAUUAGACAUGUGACUUACUCACAUACUACAAAUCGACUCUCCGGUCACCCUUGCUUCUAAAAUCUGCAAUGACAUCUUCGUGGCUGUAGUUCUCUAGAAUUCCACCCUCUAUGUGAACUAACAGAUUAUUGGCAAGAUUCUCAUCUUCCAGGGUCUCGCUGCACGCUGCAAGAACUCAAUACCUUCGAAUGUAACAGCUUCAUUUGCUCGAACCUAUUCGUACUGGUUUUGGUUAUGUUGUUCCAAUUCAAGCAACGGCAAUAUCUGGUUUUCCUGAACUCGAGUUAUGUCAUCUCUUUUCCUUUUAAAAACCAAAUCAAUUCUUCUCUGAGAUUGAUUUUCCUUGCCCAUGAUUACCUGUGUUGCAAUUUGUAUAAGAUCAGGCUAUUCACUUUCUUAUCAAAUGGACACAACUAUUUUUUAUCAACAGUUCAACACUGGACACUCAAAACAGAUGAAUAGUUGGCGCUAAUGGUUAGAAAUCCCACUGGACACUCAACAGUCAACAGAAUUCUAUACAGGUGGAAUUCCAUAUGGAUAAAAUCUGUUUCUUAUAAACACUGGACACUGAAAAUAGAUGAGUUCAUGACUCAUAAGUAGAUGUAAAGAACUGAACAAAAAUGAUAAAAUGGGGAAUUACCUCUUGCUUCUGACAGUUGCUCUACUCUUGGAGGACAGUAGGAGACUGGAGACUAGGAGAGCUCAUCCAGUGAUCUGCUCAUGCGCCAGCCGCCAGAAGUGGUUCGGCAGGCCGCAGGCCAGUAGCACGACGGCGUGGCCGAGCCCAAGCAGAUGUCAUCUGUGAGCAGGUGCAGAGAGUCGGGGGAAGGGAGGAAAGCAAGGGGCUGAACCGUGGCUGUGAGAUACAGGGAUUCCGGCGAGAGAGGAUAGACGCUGUCGGUUCGCCGACGGCAGCGGCUUGCUCCUGUGCUCACUGCUCGACUGUGGGACAGUUUGGGAAUUAGGGAGUAGGGAUUCCUAGCGCUGCCUGCCUCUCUCCGGCUGCUCUGUGCGUUUUUUUUUAGCAAGGCUGCUCUGUGCGUGAAAGCGAGAGGAUGCACGUGGGCUGGGCUAGUGGGCUUGGGAGAUGCCUAUAUAAAAAAAUUUGGGUCAAAAUCCUGGGCGGGCCAUGGCCCGGUUUAGCCCCUACAGAGCUCCGCCCCUGCUUGUGCCUAUCCACUUCAUAAUUGCUGAAUAAGGUUUAAGCUUUUGACAAAUCAAAGCUCAAACCACAGGUCAUGAAUCGAAAGGCUGAAAUUCUCGAGAUGGAACAGAACAAGGCAACACGUUGCAGGUUUCAAUUCCCUGGAGUUAGCAUCCGCCCUGAAGACAAUUCACAGCAGAGUACAGCAAACGUGCUAAAUAAAGCAUAUGGAGACACAUGCAGCCUGUGUCUCCUCCCGAAACAAGUCCACCGCAAUUCCCAGCAUCCUGCAGAGUACAGAGGUGCUAGCCAGAGAUACGCCCCUACUACAAGUAGUAAAACGAUAUACUACCAGCAUCUAUCUACAUCAAUAAAUGUUCUCCACAGUUCAAUCAGGCCAAAUACUGAAUCUACUAGUACCAUACACAAGACCUGCCACACGAUCCAAAUCGAAAUUCGCGUCACGACUAGCUAAUUCGAACCAUCUCGUAGCGUCCCACGGCCUCCCCUGCAACACAAUUUGGGGGCGCAAUUUGCACCAUAGCCUGGCAAGAAUCCUGACCAAAAAAAGAAGGAUUAGAUCUUGCUUGGCAACAAAAAAUCCGUCAGAUCAAGCAGGCAACAAUUAAAGCUAGGCGCCGGAUCUAGAUCUAGCGAAUUUCUUAAACAGGGCAAAUAUCAGAGCGCCACGGGCACGAGCGAACAUACGGAAUCGCACAUAAAAAUCCGCAGCGAGUAGCAGCCUCGGACCGAUCGAACCAGUCGAGACCGACGGCGGCAGAGCAUCAACCAAUUCGGGGCGCGGAGAGGCAGCAAAAGCGGCGGCGGGGGCGAGGUCGCUGCGCCGGCUCCGAUUCACUUGGUGCAAGGCGGGAUCCGGCCCGUCGGGGCGGGCGGAGGGUCCCGAUCUGCACCAAGCGAGCCCGAGGCGGCGGCGACGGGGAGGGGAGGAGACGAUCGAUCCCGAUUCGGUUGCUCGGCAUGGAGGGCGGUGGACUUUGUGGGGAGGAGGGGGGAGCGUGCUACCUACGGCGACUGGUCGCUGCGUGGAAGGGAAGAGGAGGGGCGCGGCUUUUAUAGCUGGGGACUGGGGAGGUGGGGAUUCGGGAGAGAGCAUAUUAGGGCGGGGUAGGUGGGGCCGCGCCCGCAGCACGGGCAUGUGCGGCUGGCUCUCCUCUCCGAUCAGGCCUUCUGCGCCUGCGGCCCUAGGAGAAAGGGGAUUUUUCCUUUUCUACUAUACCAAGGAUUUGAAGCUACUAGUGUGUGUGUGUUUGCUUUCCUCCUUGUCUUUUGUGAUUCCUUCUUUAUCAUGGUGGUGAAAUGAAUUGAUUCUCAGCUCAAAAAAAGAAAUGGAUUGAUUCUGUGCUCAAAGGAAAAUGGAUCGAUUCUUUUAAUAUCAAGGAUUUCUUUUCCUUUCUGAAAAUACUAGUUCCCGAAAUUCGUUGAAUAUUGGACCACCACCUAUGUCAAAAUUAGAAAAUAAAAUAACAUAAAAUCGGUUUUCCAUUGUCAAGAAUAGAAAGGGGAUUCCGUGCAUACCUCUGUCAAUUUGAUAGAACCAUGAAUGUUGACGCAUCGGCCGAUCUUUAGGGUUCGCUGAUUGGCGACCUCUCUAGCCGGGAGAUGUGUCCGUAAGGGGUUUGUCGACUUCUCCGAGAGUUUGACACUAGAUCCGAUCAAUAGGAGGAAAAAUGUGAGUUGUGGAAGAAGAUGCGGCGGCAAUACUGGAGAGGAGGCUGACUUGAGUGGUCUGGUUGGUAGCAUCGAGGUUAGCACGACAAAGUGAAUUGUAGGCUAGGUUUCCAGCUAGAAGAAGAGGUGGGUGGCGGCGGACCUCGGUUGAGAGUGUGGGGUUAGGGAUAGAGAGGGUAUGUAUAGGACGGUGUAGAUGAUGAGAACCGUUGGAUUGGAUCCAAGGGUUAGCAUAUGUUCUCUUGUAGGGCUAGGGUUUGUAAGUGAGGGAAGGUCGACGGCGGCGGACCUCGGUUGGGAGUGUGGGGUUAGGGAUAGAGAGGGUAUGUAUAGGACGGCGUAAAUGAUGAGAACCAUUCAAUUGGAUCCAAGGGUUAGCAUAUGU
rnacentral:lncRNA from 1 species